UACGAAGGGGGCUAGCGUUGUUCGGAAUUACUGGGCGUAAAGCGCACGUAGGCGGAUUGUUAAGUUAGGGGUGAAAUCCCAGGGCUCAACCCUGGAACUGCCUUUAAUACUGGCAAUCUCGAGUCCGAGAGAGGUGAGUGGAAUUCCGAGUGUAGAGGUGAAAUUCGUAGAUAUUCGGAGGAACACCAGUGGCGAAGGCGGCUCACUGGCCCGGUACUGACGCUGAGGUGCGAAAGCGUGGGGAGCAAACAGG
rnacentral:rRNA from 1 species